rnacentral:rRNA from 1 species
AAAUGAAUAGACGGGGGCCCGCACAAGCGGUGGAGUAUGUGGUUUAAUUCGACGCAACGCGAAAAACCUUACCUGGGCUUGAACUGUUAGUGGUAGAAACCGGAAACGGCGACGACCCGCAAGGGAGCUAACAGAGGUGCUGCAUGGCUGUCGUCAGCUCGUGUCGUGAGAUGUUGGGUUAAGUCCCGCAACGAGCGCAACCCUUAUCCCAUGUUACCCGUAGCAAUACGGGGUCUCUGAGGAAACUGCCAUUGAUAAAAUGGAGGAAGGUGGGGACGACGUCAAGUCAUCAUGGCCUUUAUGUCCAGGGCUACACACGUACUACAAUGGUCGGUACAGAGGGCAGCAAUAUCGCAAGAUGGAGCAAAUCCCUAAAAGCCGGCCUCAGUUCAGAUUGUGGGCUGCAAUUCGCCCACAUGAAGUAGGAAUCGCUAGUAAUCGCAGAUCAGAACGCUGCGGUGAAUACGUUCCCGGGCCUUGUACACACCGCCCGU